rnacentral:rRNA from 1 species
UACAGAGGGUGCGAGCGUUAAUCGGAAUUACUGGGCGUAAAGCGUGCGUAGACGGUUAUGUAAGUCGGAUGUGAAAGCCCCGGGCUCAACCUGGGAAUUGCAUUCGAAACUGUGUAGCUAGGGUGCGGAAGAGGGAAGCGGAAUUUCCGGUGUAGCGGUGAAAUGCGUAGAUAUCGGAAGGAACACCAGUGGCGAAAGCGGCUUCCUGGUCCAGCACCGACGUUCAGGCACGAAAGCAUGGGGAGCAAACAGG